rnacentral:lncRNA from 1 species
AUUUUCCAGUGUAUAGCGACUGGUGCCAUGAAUUUGAGAAAUACAAGCUAGCCAUGAAGACGUGGGAAAGGAAGCAAGCGCAAUGUGCCAAUAGGAAUAACAUCAGCCAGCAGAACAGCCAUCCCAAUGACAUUUAUCAGAGGAGCAAUCCCUUCGUCUGAUUACACCAAGAAAGUAUAACUAUUGUCAAGGAGUAGAAGGGUCAGGAAUUCUCCUUCCUCGAGAUGGUCUAGAAUUUGCCUGGUAUUUUUAGUUCAGCUACUUAAAUUAUUACUACACACUGGAAACAUGUUUUGUGUUGACAAUCACCAUCUUCAGUGACAAGUGACUUCCUUUACAACAAGUGAAUUCAUUAGCUCUGUCACAGAGAAUACUGCCAAAAACAGGCAUGUAAUAGUAUUGAUUUUUUUUUUUUUUUUACCAAUUGUUUGUUUCCACAUUAAGAUCAUAUGAAAUUUUAAUGUAAUCAAUCAUGGUGCCACCAAAAAAAUGGGUGCUAGCAAGAACUGGUGCCAUGUGCACAGAAAAUGAUCUCUUACAGUAUAUCUUAUGCUAAAGUUCUGACAGGCAACUUGACCCAAAACUCCAGUAACAAUCAGGGUACCAUAAGCUAUUGACUAAUUCAUUUUAAUUUACCAAUCUUGGUAAAAUCUUUUAACUGUGAAGGAGUUCAUUAGGAUCUAGUUCUUGCUCCUGGACAAUCGCCUGUGGGCAUUAUUGCUUCUGCAUUCAAAGAGCUUCAGUGAGCAGUGGAUCUUAGAACUUCAAAAUUUUUUAGUUACAAAGUGUAUGAAAUGAGCUGAGAUGUGAAGUGAGAGAGAUUGAACCAUGAGAUAUGGACUUCCAAACAUAUCCUUAGAGGAGGCCACAGUCCCCUAUUCUUUGAGUGUGGCAAGGACACGCUUGCUAAGAAACAAGGACUCUCCAAGACUUGAAGGAAUGGUGCAUUUACAUUGCGAAAAAGGUUCCUGGUAGACUCUUAGAGUGGUGCAGUUUGCGAAGGAAAGAGGUUAUUAUUUAUUUUCACUGUGUGUGUGUGAAAUCCAAAAAGAGUAAAUAUUUUGAUCAAUAACUCAAACAGCCUGUGGAAAAAGAAAGUUAUUUGUAAUUGGAAUUAGUAUAGUUCACAUAAAUCAAGGGUAGUAAGCUGUCAAUAUUGUAAAAUUUAGCCUUCCUCAGGUUGAAAGGUACCCAGGUUUGUAAUGUAUAUUGUUAACAAGCAUUGUCAGUCCCCUAAUCCUGAUAUUUUGUAAGCUUUUUCUAAACUACCUCUGCCUUUAAAUGAUUGUUAUCGUUAAGAAAUUUAGUGAAGGACUAAGAAUAAAACUAAUAUCAGGAAAUCUCCAUCCACAUACUCAGAAUAUUUUGUGGUUCCUCUGAAAUGAAAUAGGAUCACUUUUAUGGAAGCAUAAUCAGUGAAUGAUGUGUAGGGU